CAAGAUGGGAUCAUGAGUUCACAUGUCCGCAUGAUUAAAGGUAUUUUCCGGUAGACGAUGGGGAUGCGUUCCAUUAGAUAGUAGGCGGGGUAACGGCCCACCUAGUCAACGAUGGAUAGGGGUUCUGAGAGGAAGGUCCCCCACAUUGGAACUGAGACACGGUCCAAACUCCUACGGGAGGCAGCAGUGAGGAAUAUUGGUCAAUGGGCGAUGGCCUGAACCAGCCAAGUAGCGUGAAGGAUGACUGCCCUAUGGGUUGUAAACUUCUUUUAUAAAGGAAUAAAGUCGGGUAUGCAUACCCGUUUGCAUGUACUUUAUGAAUAAGGAUCGGCUAACUCCGUGCCAGCAGCCGCGGUAAUACGGAGGAUCCGAGCGUUAUCCGGAUUUAUUGGGUUUAAAGGGAGCGUAGAUGGAUGUUUAAGUCAGUUGUGAAAGUUUGCGGCUCAACCGUAAAAUUGCAGUUGAUACUGGAUGUCUUGAGUGCAGUUGAGGCAGGCGGAAUUCGUGGUGUAGCGGUGAAAUGCU
rnacentral:rRNA from 1 species